rnacentral:tRNA from 1 species
GUCCGGCGAUGGUCGAGGUGCGGAUGGCGUUCGUGGUCAGCUGCCGGCGGUACGUCGCCAGUGCCGCCGGGUUCGGAUCCCGGCGCAGGAUGCC